CACGUAGGGGGCGAGCGUUGUCCGGAUUCAUUGGGCGUAAAGGGCGCGUAGGCGGCCCGCUAAGUCGCGCGUGAAAUCCGCCGGCUCAACCGGCGGGGGUCGGGCGAUACUGGGGGGCUCGGAGGGCGGGAGAGGCGAGCGGAAUUCCGGGUGUAGUGGUGAAAUGCGUAGAUAUCCGGAGGAACACCGGUGGCGAAGGCGGCUCGCUGGUCCGCACCUGACGCUGAGGCGCGAAGGCCGGGGGAGCGAACGGG
rnacentral:rRNA from 1 species